rnacentral:rRNA from 1 species
AUUGAACGCUGGCGGCAGGCCUAACACAUGCAAGUCGAACGGUAACAGGAAGCAGCUUGCUGCUUUGCUGACGAGUGGCGGACGGGUGAGUAAUGUCUGGGAAACUGCCUGAUGGAGGGGGAUAACUACUGGAAACGGUAGCUAAUACCGCAUAACGUCGCAAGACCAAAGAGGGGGACCUUCGGGCCUCUUGCCAUCGGAUGUGCCCAGAUGGGAUUAGCUAGUAGGUGGGGUAACGGCUCACCUAGGCGACGAUCCCUAGCUGGUCUGAGAGGAUGACCAGCCACACUGGAACUGAGACACGGUCCAGACUCCUACGGGAGGCAGCAGUGGGGAAUAUUGCACAAUGGGCGAAAGCCUGAUGCAGCCAUGCCGCGUGUAUGAAGAAGGCCUUCGGGUUGUAAAGUACUUUCAGCGGGGAGGAAGGGAGUAAUGUUAAUACCUUUGCUCAUUGACGUUACCCGCAGAAGAAGCACCGGCUAACUCCGUG